rnacentral:sRNA from 1 species
CAAUAUUGUUGCGGGCAAAUGAAGUGGAUGUGGGUAUCGAUGCCGCCUGCCGUCACGAUAUGGCCUUCACCGGCGAUGACUUCUGUUCCGGCCCCGAUCUCCAUGCCCUUGGUCACGUUCGGCAUCAGAUCCGAAUUUCCCGCCUUCCCAAUACCGGCGAUUCGUCCAUCCUUGAUCCCUAUAUCCGCUUUCACGAUCCCGGUGUAAUCCAGUAUGAGGGCAUUCGUGAUCACGGUGUCGAGCGCGCCAUUCGCGCUUGUCGCUCUUGGCGAUUGGCCCAUUCCAUCCCG